CGAGUCUCCUGCCUCAGCCCCCUGAGUACCUGGGAACACAGGUGUUCAUCACCGUGCCCAGCUAUUGUUUUUGUAUUUUUAGUAGAGACAGGGUUUCAUUCACCAUGUUGGCCAGGCUGGUCUCAAACUCCCUACUUCAAAUGAUCCACCCUCCUCGGCCUCCCAAAGUGCUGGGAUUAUAUGUGUGAGCCAUCACGCUCGUCCCAAAGCUCUUCUCAAAAAAUGAUCUCAUUUGGACUUCCUGAGAGCCCUGUAUGGAGAAGUAGGGUAGUCCUUGUUAUCUGUAUUUUACAGACAACUAUACUGAGACUGGGUGAGAUGAGGUAUUAUUCUUCUGCCAUCAUCAAGAUGCAGAUAAAGUAAUUGAAUCUAGACUCCAUGGCUUCUGGUUCCUGAUGUGGGUUUCACUAUGUGGCACCAACCAUCAAGCCCAUUUUCACCAUCAUCUGUGAAUGCCAUAUGGCUCUGCCUUGGGAUUUUUGGCUCUUCAAGGAAAACAAUAAGACUUAGUUGAAUGAGACCUCGACCUCUUAUUUCUAGGAUCUUCUAAUCUGAGAUAAAGAGUUGUUGUGAUUAUCCAGAGAAUGACAAUAAAGAAUUCUUAGACAGUGUUUGAAAUGGAGCUGAGGGUAAAUAACACACGAGUGAAAUUUCUUUAUAAAACUGUGGUGUUUGUCUGCUUUGGGGUUGAUGUUUCCUUAUAACAACAAUGCUGAAUGCCUCAUGCAAUGCAAUGCUCUCCUGAUGGGAGGGAUUAAGGCUGGACCCAUCUGAAGAGUGCUGCUUUCCAAAGAACAGAGGGCGUUUCCACUGAGGUAGUUUCAUAGUCCCAUGAAUAGACUCUUCUGCUCAUUUAAGGACCUUCCUAACAUAUCUGUAGAAAUGAACAGAAUAUUGAAACCCCACCAGAAGAGUAACCUCUGCCUUUCUCAUGCUUUCAGUGUGCUGACUUGCUUUUUUUUGGGUUCUCAAAUGAUGCAAUCUGAUAGUGCAGCAGCUUCCUGUUUGAGGGUUAAUUAUUUCUUUUUAUGUCUAUAUUUAAGAUGCUUAAAUUUGUGAUUCAUUCUUUAUAAUUUGAUCUAAUGCUUAGAAUAUGUCCACGUAUAUCACAUUAACAUUUUUCCUUUAAGAGUGAUUAUUUUCCCCUCUGAGCCAUUGCCAAUGGACGUAGAUCAUGAAAACAGGUUGAUAAAUGCAGCCAUCUCAGCGCAACCUGAAAUUUGCAGUUGCUGUGGCCAUGAGUCAAGACAGAGCCAGCUGUGUCCACAUGGGAAAUCGCCAUUCCCCCAAGAAGCUUUACCAAAUUCUCAGAACUGAGCCCAUUUCUAUUUCGUCAGUGCCUAUUGUUCCGGAAUCAGUGCAUCCUUGCAACGGAGAAGGUGGCACUUUCUAUUCCCCAGCAGCGAGACCAUGAUGAGAGAAGGAAGAGAGUGAGAAGAAAAGGAGAGAAGCAGGAACCAGGAGAAGAAAAAAUGAGGAAGUAACCAGGAGUGGGGAGGAAGGAGGCGAAGAGGCUGAGAGAGGGACGGAGCCGCGUGCCUCGGAGGGAACACCUUGCCUUCUUGGCCUUGCCAGCAGCUUCAUGGCUGUCCCUUUUGUGCCUGGGACUUCCUCUUCUCCAGACACUGAGUUGCUGUCUCACUGGUAACAAUAAGUUAAUUGAACAGCCUGUCAACAGAUGGGCACACAGUGGCUCUCAGCUCUGGACUCUUUGUUAGUGAGACUUAUUUGUAAGUGAGAAAGUCUGAAAUAGCACCUGUCUCUUAAGAGAGCAUGUGUGCUUGCACACACAUGUGCAUGGACACACACACGUGCAUGCACACACUCAUGCAUGCAGAUACACACAAGUGCACACACACACGCACACACACACCACCGCCACCUUUCUUUUUUUUUUUUUUUUUUUUUUUUAGGUGGAGUCUCACUCUGUCACCCAGGCUGGAGUGCAGUGGUGUGGUCUUGGCUCACUGCAACCUCUGCCUCCCGGAUUCAAGUGAUUCUCCUCCCUCAGCCUCCUGAGUAGGUGGGAUUACAGGGGUGCACCACCACACCUGGCUAAUGUUUUGUGUUUUUAGUAGAGAUGGGAGUUUUGCCCUGUUGUCCAGGCUGGUCUUGAACUCCUGACCUUAGGUGAUCCACCUGCCUCUGCCUCCCAAAGUGCUGGGAUUACAGGUGAGAGCCACUGUGCCCGGCCUCUGCACCACCUUACGCCAGGCCCCUUCUCUGUCCCCUGUGUGAGCCCAGGCUUUCCACAAUUCAGCCUUUCCAAUGCUUUCAGAAGUCAUGGUGUAUUUCUAAGUAAGGAGUAUUUCCAUCUGAGCUGUUAGGGAUAAAGACUCUGAGUCAUUUCCAUCUGAGUCAUUAGGGAUAAAGACUCAGAAUUUGUGCCACCGAAAAUGUGGUUAUAAAGGAGGAAUGGAUGUACUCUACUGCAAUGCUGAAAUGAAUUAAUUAUGUCCUGAGGCUCAAAUCUAUCUCUUUUCAUCUAUUUUUUUUUUUUUUUGUAUUUCACCCUCUGUACAGAGCUGAAGUGUAAACCUGUCUCUCCUUGGACACAUAUUGCACCCUUACCACUUCUUUCCAUUUGCAUCACAUAGCACUUCCCAGGCAAGUUCCACUAUUUUGCAGGUGGACAGAGGUUGAGAGCUUUCAGCUACAAGUGGCAGAGACCACUAUGCUCGGUAUUCAUCUCUUUCUUUGUCCUGAUGCCCUGUCACAAAGCUGGGCCUGGGUGCAUUACCUGUUUGACUGAUUUGACUGAAUGGAUGGGUCAACUGCUCUGUGGUUUAGUAAAUAUAAGCCAAAGCAACUGUCCUGGAGAAAACAUGACCAUCAAAUAGAUUAAAAUGGAAUGAACUCUUC
rnacentral:lncRNA from 10 species